UAAUACGAAGGGGGCUAGCGUUGUUCGGAAUUACUGGGCGUAAAGCGCGCGUAGGCGGUUUGCACAGUCAGGCGUGAAAUCCCGGGGCUCAACCCCGGAACUGCGUUUGAUACUGGCGAACUAGAGGACGGGAGAGGGUAGUGGAAUUCCAAGUGUAGAGGUGAAAUUCGUAGAUAUUGGGAAGAACACCGGUGGCGAAGGCGGCUACCUGGACCGUACCUGACGCUGAGGUGCGAAAGCGUGGGGAGCGAACAGGAUUAGAUACCCUGGUAGUCCACGCCGUAAACGAUGAGUGCUAAGUGU
rnacentral:rRNA from 1 species